rnacentral:rRNA from 1 species
UACGGAGGAUUCAAGCGUUAUCCGGAUUUAUUGGGUUUAAAGGGUGCGUAGGCGGUUAGAUAAGUUAGAGGUGAAAUGUUAGGGCUUAACCCUGAAACUGCCUCUAAUACUGUUUAGCUAGAGAAUAGUUGCGGUAGGCGGAAUGUAUGGUGUAGCGGUGAAAUGCUUAGAGAUCAUACAGAACACCGAUUGCGAAGGCAGCUUACCAAACUAUGACUGACGUUGAGGCACGAAAGCGUGGGGAGCAAACAGG